AAUUUUUAAUCAUUUUAUUAAAAUUAAUAAAAUUACAUUUAAAUCCUUUUUCAACUAAAUAAUUUCAAUUUUAAUAUUCAUUUAAAUAAGUUUAUUGUAAUUCAUUUAUUCUAAAUUAUUAAUUACAUCUUGAUUUGAUUUAAUUUUAUUUUUAAAAUUUUAAAUAUUAUAAAUUUAUAAAAAAUAUUUUUUUAACAAUGAUAUAUAAAUUUAUAAAUUAAGUAAAUUAAUUCGUGGAUUAUCAAUUAUUAAACAAAUUCCUCUAAAUAAAAUAAAAUACUGCCAAAUUAUUUAAGUUUCAUAUAAUAAUAUAAAUUACUAUUUUAAUAUUAAAUUAUUUAAUUUUAUAAUAGGGUA
rnacentral:rRNA from 1 species